rnacentral:lncRNA from 1 species
GUUUGGGACAACGACAGUCUUUUACUGGCUAGCUGCACUUGUUCUUUCUAAACCAGUAAUUCCAGAUUUAGAGUCUCAACACUUUGUCACUUUUUAUUUGUGACUCCUAAAGGAAUGCCCAAGGGGAAUUUGAUUUCAGAAGUGACGCUCACAGCUGGAACAGAAGUGAGGGCUUGCAAGUGAGGGAUUAUGACUAAAAAUGGGGUUGUGGUUCCAUAAACACCAUUAGCAGGUGUUCUUCUUCCAUAUUGCUACUUUUCAGACACAGAAACAGCUCCUAUUUCAGCUAAUUGUCUUUCAGAAGUAUAUUUUGAGAAACGAAACCAAGCCUAUGAUCAAGGAUGCACAGAAUCGAAAGCCACUCUCUCCUCACAGCUCAGAUGUGAAAUCAAUUCCCCCGCAACAUGGACUUGUCAAGUUUAGCUAAAUACUCUUCCAGAAAUUCAUUGCUCGAAGUCACUCUCAUCAGGAAAUCAAACCUUCUUAAAAGUAGUUCCUAUUUGGACUGCUUUUGGCUGUUUCACUGUGCCAAUGACAUUCAUUACAACCAACCACAGUUACCAGGUACAACCACCAGUGAUUUCUUCAUCACUCUUUGUAGCAAGAACUCUGCACUCUUGUUUUUGGUGACCUAAGGAUAAACAUUGAGGACAAAAAAAGAUGUCGUGAUGGAGAAAUCUUCAGAAAAUGACUGAAACACCUUCUCUCUACAGUCUCACCAAUGUAAUUUACCUUGCAUGUGACUUGGCCUUAGUUAUCCUCCUUUAGUUUGUCCAGCAAUUUCACACUGCUGUGAAAAUUUCUUUUGGGAAGGUGUGCUCUAAAGGAACUCUAAAAAUUCUGCAAAUUAAUUUUUUACAAACAUCCUCUUUAGCACAUAAGUGUUCUGAGUAUUUUUUGUUUCCCAAAACUCAAUUUGUUCAAUUUUAUUAUGCUCUGGCUACUAUCACAAAGCAGCAACUAUGCCUUACCCCCUGCACCUGCUUAACUAAAAUAAUUAAAGAAGAGUCUGUGUUUCAUUUCGCUACUAGCUUUAUCUGGAUCCAUUCGCUUGCAAUUUUACAUGCUUUGUCUUAUGCUAUGGUGAGAUUAAUCCAUGGAACUUGGAGACAAUAAUCAGUUCAAAAUGAUUAAGGCGGUUUGAACUAGCUUUGACAUUUAUGCAUGUUGGCUAGAAAUGAAAAAUGUUACUGAGGGUAUCUUUAUAUCUCUAAUUUGUGAUUGUAUUAGUUGUACCAUUUUUGUUAUGAAUCUUUUGUCUUUUAAUUGUUCACAAACUGUUCAUUGAUAUCAUUCAAUAUUUGAAAUGUACAAAUUCACACUCCAUAUUUACACUGUAGUUCGAUAGAGAUACAUAAAACUCUACAAAUAGUUUUCACUAUGGAUAUCAUAUUUAUCCGUUCUAAAUAAACUUUCAACAAAUAGCCUUUUACUUUUUUUC